CCCCCAGACUCUACAGAGAGCUCUGCAGACAGUCCAGGCUCCCGCCUGAGCCAGGGGAAGGCUCCGGCGCCAGGGGAGCCCGAAAGAGGCGGAGGCGGAAAAGAAGUGGAGAAGGGUACUCUAAAGAUGCUGUCACCCUGGGACAACAGGAAGCAGUCUAGAGAACACUACGCCCACAUUACCAAAAGUUAUACCUUCAGAAUCUAAGGACCAACGCUUACAAGACCAUUUGGAAGCUGAAGAUAGCACAGUGUUCAAUGUGGAGGAGCUCUCCCUAAACAUUGAUGAAUACACGAGGAAAGAAUGGAUGCAUUAUAUCAACCAGCAUGGAUUCUGGGUCAGCACUCAAAUGCUACAACAGUUGGGUCAUUAUAAUCACUUCCUUCUCAGUGGAAUCAAGUAAGCUGUCCUAAGCCUUGUGUUCUCUUCCUUUUAUGAAGAAAACACUGCACAACUGUGAAUCUCACAUGGGCAACCUAUGUGUAGAAAAUAUGUGACCUAGAAGAAGGAGCCUCCAUGAAUGUUUUGUUUGAGGGAAAGGAGUUGGUGAGCAGGUAUAGGGAAUUUGGACUUUGAGGAACUUAGUUCUCAUAUAUUCUCUAGGGAGGAGAUUCCCAUGCCUGAAAUAAGACCCUGAAAACAUGCUGCCUAUCCUUGAAUACAAUUGACUGUUAGAAGUCUCUGGUCCAACUCCUGAGGCUUUGGGCUAGAUUUCCCAGGACUGGAAGCCUAGUUCUGCUGUGAACCAUUCCAAGCACCUGUCCUAGCUCAGAAGACAAGUCCUUGGGACCCUGACAUGUCCUGACCUGAGUGUUACCAUCCAUCCACUCUAGGAUGUAAGUCUGAACUGCCAUGAGCAGACCUCAGGACCCACUCACUAUACUGCAGCACCUGUCAUGCUCACUGGAGCCUGGUACCUGCUGCUGGGCCUGCCACCCUUUAAUCAUCAACACUUUGGGGGCUCCACAGUAUAAACAAUGCAAACAUCAGCCCUAUUUGUAUCAUGCCAACCGUCAGGGUUGUUUGGGGGUAUGUGUCAUGUCUGGUCCUCAAAUCUUGAAUGUGAUUAUGAUCAAACCACCACUUUGUAGAGGAUGACCCCUUCCAAAGUCUGUGAGGAAGAGAGGAGAGAGGUAAAACUUGCCCCUAGUCCUCAGAAAUAAAUGAUAUCCAAGAAUCAAAGGCCUAGGUAUUAUAUUUUUUAAAACUGCAUGGUACAAAGAAAUACCUACUGACCAGGGGAUAACAUUUAUGAAAUAUGAAACCUUAAAUGUGAUUUUUUUUAAUAAAAAGUAUAUCUAGAACAGAAGCAGAUGAAAAUGGAAAUAAAUCAAUGGAGAGCAAAGACAAUGUUGAUGACAGAGACUGUGAGCAGAGAGCUUCUGGGCCACUGUGGGGAAAGGCUGUCUGAGGAGGAAACAUGAGGAGAUCAUUCAUGCUGGACACCUUGGAGAAGAGAGCUGAAAAAAAUCCCUUAAUUAAUAGCAAAAACUGAAAAUACAUCUCUCCCUCACAGCAUUACAGAAAGUCAAUUUCAAAUGGAUCAGAGACUUCAAUGUAAAAGACAGAACUUUUAAACCUUUUGGAGAAAAUGCAGGAUAAAGUUUUCAGGCUCAGUGGCUGUGGUGUGUGGAAACCCCACCCCUGCACAGAGAAGGAGGUGAAGUAAGGAGAGUCCGAGCACCAUGAAUCUCAGGGUUGAGACUCACCUCCUGACCAGGAAGGCCCAGACAUACUUUGGAGUCAUUGGCUGCCUUGAUUUCUCUGUAGAAACUGUUUUCUAGAGAUGGGAUGGAAAAUAGAUCUUUAGUAUGCUAAUCCACUGCCUUUGUCUUCAGCUCUCUGAACAAAGCAUAGUUUAAAGGUUCAGUUCCUGGUUUUUAUUCAUGUAACACGCAGUUCUGGCUGCUGACAAACAAGUAUUGUGACAUUUACCAAUGUAUCUUACCUCUUAACUGUUGCAUGGAACAAAGGACUAGUAUUCAGAAUAUAUAAAGAACUUCCAUAAAUAUACAGAAACUGAAGCUUUAAAAAUAGUAAAAUGGGCAAAACGCCCUAGGUAUUUUACAGAAGAGGAACACAAAACGUCAGGUUAAUAUAGGAAAAGGCAAUCAUCCUCGUUAAGAAUCAAGAAAAUGUAAAUAAUAAACCACGAUAAAAUUUCAUUUCUCAGCUGUCAGACUGAUUUUAAAAAAAGUAUUAGCUCACUCCGUGGAAUCUGGGGUGUCAUUCUAACUUUAGAAGUUUAGUCAGUUGCAAUUCUUGUACAAAUAUGAAAUAAUAGUAACUAGAGAUGCCUUAGUGGCUAGAGAAUGUAUUGCUUUUCUAGAGGACCAAAGUUCAGUUCUCAGCUCCCACAUCAGGCAGCUCACACCCACCUAUGAUUAGAUUCCAGCUCCUCUGGCCUCCAUGGGCACCUGCACUUAGGUGCACACACACACACACACACACACACACACACACACAUAUGCAAAUAAUAAUAACAAAUCUUAAAAACCUUGUUUGUAUUGUUAUUAGAAAUAUUUACCUCUUUCUAUAAUUUAUCAUAGCUAAUCUUUUUAAUUGUAAUUUUUCUUGUAAUUUUAUGCUGGAUUUUAAAAAUUUUACCACUUUCCCCCCAUAUUUUGAAAAAGGAAAUAUAAUCGUUAUUCUUGUACAUUGAAUAAUUUCAAUCUGCAAUUACAUACCUAUUAUUUAAUGACAAGAAUUUGUUUUCAAAUUAGUAUUCAUAAUUAUAUGUAAAACUUAAC